rnacentral:pre_miRNA from 1 species
AACAUAUUCCUCCGUCUAACCAAGGAUGUCUCAAGUUUGUCAAAAUUUGAAUGUAUCUAGACAUGACUUAGUGUAUAGAUGCAUGUUGAGACAUCCUUUGUUGGACGGAGGGAGUAAUAA